GGAGCUCUCCCAUAUGGUCGACCUGCAGGCGGCCGCGAAUUCACUAGUGAUUAGAGUUUGAUCAUGGCUCAGGAUGAACGCUAGCGGCAGGCCUAAUACAUGCAAGUCGAGGGGUAGAGUUAGCUUGCUAGCUUGAGACCGGCGCACGGGUGCGUAACGCGUAUGCAACCUACCUUAAUCAGGGGGAUAGCCCGAAGAAAUUCGGAUUAACACCGCAUAAAAUCACAGAAUAGCAUUAUUCAAUGAUCAAAUAUUUAUAGGAUUAAGAUGGGCAUGCGUGUCAUUAGCUAGUUGGCGGGGUAAAGGCGCACCAAGGCGACGAUCCUUAGCUGGUCUGAGAGGAUGAUCAGCCACACUGGGACUGAGACACGGCCCAGACUCCUACGGGAGGCAGCAGUGGGGAAUAUUGGACAAUGGGCGCAAGCCUGAUCCAGCCAUGCCGCGUGAGUGAUGAAGGCCUUAGGGUUGUAAAGCUCUUUCGGCGGGGACGAUAAUGACGGUACCCGCAGAAGAAGCCCCGGCUAACUUCGUGCCAGCAGCCGCGGUAAUACGAAUCGAAUUCCCGCGGCCG
rnacentral:rRNA from 1 species